rnacentral:rRNA from 1 species
UAGGGAAUAUUGCAAAAUGGGCGAAAGCCCGAUGCAGCAACGCCGCGUGGGCGAUGAAGGCCUUCGGGUCGUAAAGCCCUUUUUGAGGGGAUGAGGAAGGACAGUACCCUCAGAAUAAGCCUCGGCUAACUACGUGCCAGCAGCCGCGGUAAAACGUAGGAGGCGAGCGUUAUCCGGAUUUACUGGGCGUAAAGCGCGUGCAGGCGGAUUGGAGAGUUGGAUGUGAAAGCUCCCGGCUUAACUGGGAGAGGUCGUUCAAUACUUCCAGUCUUGAGUGCAGUAGAGGGAAGUGGAAUUCCGGGUGUAGUGGAGAAAUGCGUAGAUAUCCGGAGGAACACCAGUGGCGAAAGCGGCUUCCUGGACUGUAACUGACGCUCAGACGCGAAAGCUAGGGUAGCAAAC